rnacentral:rRNA from 1 species
UAGGGAAUCUUCCGCAAUGGACGCAAGUCUGACGGAGCAACGCCGCGUGAGUGAAGAAGGAUUUCGGUUCGUAAAACUCUGUUGUUAGAGAAGAACAGCGCAUAGAGUAACUGUUAUGCGUGUGACGGUAUCUAACCAGAAAGCCACGGCUAACUACGUGCCAGCAGCCGCGGUAAUACGUAGGUGGCAAGCGUUGUCCGGAUUUAUUGGGCGUAAAGCGAGCGCAGGCGGUCAAUUAAGUCUGAUGUGAAAGCCCCCGGCUCAACCGGGGAGGGUCAUUGGGAACUGGUUGACUUGGGUGGAGAAGGGGAGAGUGGAAUUCCAUGUGGAGCGGGGAAAUGCGUAGAUAUAUGGAGGAAACCCAGUGGCGAAGGCGACUCUCUGGUAUGUAACUGACGCUGAGGCUCGAAAGCGUGGGUAGCAAACAGG